rnacentral:rRNA from 1 species
AGAGUUUGAUCAUGGCUCAGAGCGAACGCUGGCGGCGUGCUUAACACAUGCAAGUCGAGUGCGCGGUUGUAGCAAUACAACUGGCGCACGGCGCACGGGUGCGUAACACGUGGGUAAUCUGCCCUCUGAUGGGGAAUAACUCGCCGAAAGGCGAGCUAAUACCGCAUAACAUUCCUUGGACUCCGGUUCGAGGAUUCAAAGGCGUAAGUCGUCGGAGGUGGAGCCCGCGCACGAUUAGCUAGUUGGUAGGGUAAAGGCCUACCAAGGCUAUGAUCGUUAGCUGGUCUGAGAGGAUGGCCAGCCACACUGGAACUGAGACACGGUCCAGACUCCUACGGGAGGCAGCAGUGGGGAAUCUUGCACAAUGGGCGAAAGCCUGAUGCAGCGACGCCGCGUGGGGGAUGAAGCUUCUCGGAGUGUAAACCCCUUUCGACCGGGACGAAUACCUCGCAAGAGGGGUGACGGUACCGGUAUAAGAAGCCCCGGCUAACUACGUGCCAGCAGCCGCGGUAAGACGUAGGGGGCCAGCGUUGCUCGGAAUUACUGGGUGUAAAGGGUUCGUAGGCGGUGUGGCAAGUCGGGAGUGAAAUCUCUGGGCUCAACUCAGGGGCUGCUUCCGAAACUGCCGUGCUAGAGUGUGGGAGAGGCGCGUGGAAUUGCAGGUGUAGCGGUGAAACGCGUAGAUAUCUGCAGGAACACCCGUGGCGAAAGCGGCGCGCUGGACCACUACUGACGCUGAGGAACGAAAGCUAGGGGAGCAAACAGGAUUAGAUACCCUAGUAGUCC